UGUGAAGGUGCUGCAUGGUUGUCGUCAGCUCGUGCCGUGAGGUGUCGGCUUAAGUGCCAUAACGAGCGCAACCCUUGCCUUUAGUUACUAACAGUUUAUGCUGGGGACUCUACCGGGACUGCCAUCGUAAGAUGUGAGGAAGGUGGGGAUGACGUCAAAUCAGCACGGCCCUUACGUCCGGGGCUACACACGUGUUACAAUGGGAGGUACAGAAGGCUGCUACCCGGCGACGGGAUGCCAAUCCCCAAAACCUCUCUCAGUUCGGAUUGGAGUCUGCAACCCGACUCCAUGAAGCUGGAUUCGCUAGUAAUCGCGCAUCAGCCACGGCGCG
rnacentral:rRNA from 1 species